rnacentral:miRNA from 1 species
GAGCGCACGAGCGAAAAGG